GUCUACGGCCAUGCUACCCUGAAUAAGUCCGAUCCCUUCUGAACUCGGAAGGUAAGCAGGGUCGGGCCUGGUUAGUACUUGGAUGGGAAGACCUAGGAAGACCAGGUGCUAUAGGCG
rnacentral:rRNA from 1 species